AUGAACACUGACCUUGGAUGAAAGACACGAAGGAAGGAAAGACGCACCAUUGUGAGUAUACGGUUGUGGAAAAAGGGUGUUGGUGGCUGAAAACCACCCUGUCUAUGCAUCUGGAGCCUUAGCAGUGUGAGAUCAACCUUGGAGAACGUGGGACGAAGAAAGUGCAGCAGUUGUGAGUAACGGAGUCUCCUUAUGGAAGUGUUGUGCAUGUAUUUGACCUGUAUAUCUCUUUGAGUGUUUCCGAAAGAGAGUGGGUGGCCCUACCCCUGAAUCAGCGCGGUGGGUGAGCCGAAGAGUUUUUGUGCUGAAACAGCUCCGGUGACGAAAACGAACACUAGGCCGAGUUACCAUCUCCAUAUUUUCGUCCAGAGCGAAGUAAAGGAAGACGGGCGUCUAUUUGUGUGCACUGAGCGUGGAGGGUGAGUCUUGGAUAUAGAAAUGUUCACUUGAAGUGGUGCUGUGUAAUGUUGUGUAUUGCAGUGAGAUUGCUGUUGUCUUGUCUGACGUACCCCCGCCUCUAGUCACUCGUUCCUGAGACGACGAAGAGGAAGAACGGUCCUAGAGUAAGACCUGUACAUGAAUAUGCUGUGAGUGUGUUUCAGUUUUAAAAAUCACGGAGCGGCAUCUCGAAGUAUUUUCCCAGCCAAACGCUUGGCGGACUUGAGUUUAGGAGUGGCGGUGAAGAACUGUGCUAUCGACGGCGUGUGAGUAUUACCUAUAAUAUUGCUACCUUACCUGUGUCUUUUCAUCAUCACAGAGCUUGAGGCGAAGGAGAUCCGUCGGCCCGAGGUCUCGACGAAAGGGCGCCCCGGUCCAGUUUUCGAUUGACCAACGGGUCUCGAGGAAAGGGCAGCGCUCGACCCGGUGUGCCGGCGUGACGUUCUCGCCCCUCUGUAGACCAACGAGCUCGCCGAGAGGGUUUUGGCCCCCGGCGACACAGAGGAAACCACUGUCCAGUUGACGCAACGUGUAGGCCGCUAUCUCAUCUGUGGAGAGAAAGAGCCAGCGUGAACGCUGAGAUAUCGAAUUGUGAAGAGAGCCAUACCUACCCAAAGCUGUAGUCAGCGCAGAGGUGAGAGAACCAUUGGAAACCGAUUCAUUGUGCCUUUGUGUCCCAGCAGUCAUCUGUGGAGAGAAAGAGCCAGCGUGAACGCUGAGAUAUCGAACUGUGAAGAGAGCCAUAUCUACCCAAAGCUGUAGUCAGCGCAGAGGUGAGAGAACCAUUGGAAACCGAUUCAUUGUGCCUUUGUGUCCCAGCAGUCAUCUGUGGAGAGAGAAAAGGAGAGCCAACGUGAACAUGGAGAUAUUGAGCUGUGGAGGAGAGCCUGGAGUGGCUGUUAUUUUAAGUUCCCCUUUCCCCUUCCCUAUUUAAUAUUUUUAAGUAAUUUAAUAAAGUAUAUUUUAAUUUUA